rnacentral:rRNA from 1 species
CGCUGUGAAGAUGCAGUGUACCCGCGGCAAGACGGAAAGACCCCGUGAACCUUUACUAUAGCUUGACACUGAACAUUGAGCCUUGAUGUGUAGGAUAGGUGGGAGGCUUUGAAGCGUGGACGCCAGUCUGCGUGGAGCCGACCUUGAAAUACCACCCUUUAAUGUUUGAUGUUCUAACGUGGACCCGUAAUCCGGGUUGCGGACAGUGUCUGGUGGGUAGUUUGACUGGGGCGGUCUCCUCCUAAAGAGUAACGGAGGAGCACGAAGGUUGGCUAAUCCUGGUCGGACAUCAGGAGGUUAGUGCAAUGGCAUAAGCCAGCUUGACUGCGAGCGUGACGGCGCGAGCAGGUGCGAAAGCAGGUCAUAGUGAUCCGGUGGUUCUGAAUGGAAGGGCCAUCGCUCAACGGAUAAAAGGUACUCCGGGGAUAACAGGCUGAUACCGCCCAAGAGUUCAUAUCGACGGCGGUGUUUGGCACCUCGAUGUCGGCUCAUCACAUCCUGGGGCUGAAGUAGGUCCCAAGGGUAUGGCUGUUCGCCAUUUAAAGUGGUACGCGAGCUGGGUUUAGAACGUCGUGAGACAGUUCGGUCCCUAUCUGCCGUGGGCGCUGGAAGACUGAGGGGGGCUGCUCCUAGUACGAGAGGACCGGAGUGGACGCAUCACUGGUGUUCGGGUUGUCAUGCCAAUGGCACUGCCCGGUAGCUAAAUGCGGAAAAGAUAAGUGCUGAAAGCAUCUAAGCACGAAACUUGCCCC